GACGAACGCUGGCGGCGUGCUUAACACAUGCCAGUCGAACGAAGAGCGAUGGAAGCUUGCUUCUAUCAAUCUUAGUGGCGAACGGGUGAGUAACGCGUAAUCAACCUGCCCUUCAGAGGGGGACAACAGUUGGAAACGACUGCUAAUGCCGCAUACGAUCUGACCUCGGCAUCGAGGAUAGAUGAAAGGUGGCCUCUAUUUAUAAGCUAUCACUGAAGGAGGGGAUUGCGUCUGAUUAGCUAGUUGGAGGGGUAACGGCCCACCAAGGCGAUGAUCAGUAGCCGGUCUGAGAGGAUGAACGGCCACAUUGGGACUGAGACACGGCCCAGACUCCUACGGGAGGCAGCAGUGGGGAAUCUUCCGCAAUGGACGAAAGUCUGACGGAGCAACGCCGCGUGAGUGAUGACGGCCUUCGGGUUGUAAAGCUCUGUUAAUCGGGACGAAAGGCCUUCUUGCGAAUAGUUAGAAGGAUUGACGGUACCGGAAUAGAAAGCCACGGCUAACUACGUG
rnacentral:rRNA from 1 species